rnacentral:tRNA from 1 species
AAAAUCCGUCGAUUUUUAAAAUCGUGAGGGUUCAAGUCCCUCUAUCCCCCC